GGCAUGGGAGUUUAGGUGAAAAAAGGUAAGAAUUGGAAGGGCAAAAGAGGCAAAAAGAAUGCAGAACAAGUUGUAUAAGAUGAUUGUGGCUUCCUUGAAGGGUGCAUGUGAAGGUGAUAUGGGCCAGCAAAGACCCUCAAUUGCCAAGAGAAAAAGAGAGGGAAAGAGAGCACAUGGGCAAGCACAUGCAUUAUCUUUGUAGAGAGAGAGAGAGAGAGAGAGAGAUUGGCAAGAGGAUUAAAGGGUUUAUGAAGAAGAAGAAGAAGAAGAAGAAGAAGAAGGGGUUGAGGGGUGGUGGCUAUAGGGGCAUGUGACAAAGGAUGAG
rnacentral:lncRNA from 1 species